rnacentral:tRNA from 1 species
GGCCGGUUAGCUCAGUGGUUUGAGCGUGGUGCUGACGAGGACCAACUCCGAGGUUGCGGGUUUGAUUCCCGCUCGGUCC